rnacentral:rRNA from 1 species
UACCGGACUACCCCCACCGAACCGCAUUGGUUUGGUGAGGAAAUGGAUUCCGCUUCGGGAGGGCUUCGCGGCCUAUCAGCUAGUUGGUGGGGUAACGGCCCACCAAGGCAUCGACGGGUAGCUGGUCUGAGAGGACGAUCAGCCACACUGGGACUGAGACACGGCCCAGACUCCUACGGGAGGCAGCAGUGGGGAAUCUUGCGCAAUGGGCGAAAGCCUGACGCAGCAACGCCGCGUGGGGAUGAAGGCUCUCGGGUUGUAAACCCCUUUCAGCAGGGACGAAUCAAGACGGUACCUGCAGAAGAAGCCCCGGCUAACUACGUG